rnacentral:rRNA from 1 species
GAUCAUGGCUCAGGAUGAACGCUAGCUACAGGCUUAACACAUGCAAGUCGAGGGGGCAGCAUGGUCUUAGCUUGCUAAGGCCGAUGGCGACCGGCGCACGGGUGAGUAACGCGUAUCCAACCUGCCUUACACUCUUGGACAGCCUUCUGAAAGGGUAGAUUAAUACAAGAUGUUAUCAUGAGUAAGCAUUUUCGCAUGAUUAAAGGUUUACCGGUGUAAGAUGGGGAUGCG